rnacentral:rRNA from 1 species
UAAUCGGGGCAGGGUGAGUCGACCCCUAAGGCGAGGCCGAAAGGCGUAGUCGAUGGGAAACAGGUUAAUAUUCCUGUACUUGGUGUUACUGCGAAGGGGGGACGGAGAAGGCUAUGUUAGCCGGGCGACGGUUGUCCCGGUUUAAG